GCCUGCUGUGUCUGUGUUGAGUCCUGCUCCUCCAAGUCUGGUACGGAGUCAUCACUGUCAGAAUCUGUGCCAGACCCUAGACACCACCAGAUACAUUCCAUUAGAACAUUCCAUUAGAACAUGGAACACGUCACAACAUAUCACAGAAUCAGUUCUUUAGUAUGACAUAAACAAAAAUAUUUACGUAAGCAGAAAAGGAUAAGGGAACGUAAUUAUGUGGUAAUAUAUGGAGUCAACUUGGUUACAAACACAUCAAAAUACAUUCAUACACUUCCCUGGGACAGUUGCAGGAGAUUAGUUGGGGAAAAGCUGCACAAAUACAGAGGUCUCACUGAUUUGAAAAGGAGGUCGCGAGAGAAACUGAAAUAAAAAACAUUACGCUUGGUUCAUAGAACCACGGUUACAUUAGUAACCGCCGAUAGCCACUAGACAUGGUUGUAAUAAACAGAGCGUUUUCUGCUUUCUUCAGAAAAAUAUGGCUCUGUUUUGAACGGUUUAAGCUACAAAAUAUUAUGACCCCAUCAAUGAAAGAAGACUCUCAGGAACCCGGACACGUCUUCUGUUUCCUUCUACAAUGCCCCAAAAGCGGCAGGACACAGAACAGAGUGGACAAGACCAGGCACUUAAUCAGACUGGGGGGGGCAUCAAUGACAUUUUCUACACCAAUCAUACAAAACUUCCUACUUCCUUUCUGAUGCAUUUCACUUCAAACCGAACUUCCUUCAAAUUGAAAUACUGUCAAUAAUUCUAAUCAGACUGAUUUGUAAUAAAACGGUCAUAGCCACAAUAAAAUGAAAUUAUAUAAAAAUGGGCUUGCUGGACCAAAAAAAAAAACUGUUUGAGGUUGGCCCCUGGGUGUAGGAGAACACCACCCCCUGGUGGCCCCUGGGUGUAGAGAAACAAGCCAUUGGUCAGGUUUUGGUCAGCACUAAAUGGUUGCUACUACAGAAGCCAAGCAAAGGGUGGAUUUUCUAGAGUGAGGAUGAACCAAACAUAGACUGCAGGUAUAAAGGUAGUUAAGACAACCAUUCACAUAAGCAUUAAUACAUCCCACUACGACAGAAAGUGUGGUCUGAGGAAAAAUAUUUUACAUUGCAUGUUCUCUCUUAGCUACUUCCUGUAGCUAACAUAUUCUUGCUUUGCAUUUUCCUAUUUGAUUUAGAAGAUAAUGUUGCACAAACAUGCUGAAUCAGGUCUACACCAUCACUGGUAUUAAUCAGGCUGUAUUAGCUAGCUACGUUUGCUCUUACUCAGUACAUUUAUUAGCUAGCUAGCUAGCUAGCUAUUAGUGGCUAACAAUUAGCGUCUCACAAGAUUCAGGGCAAGUCGCUAAGAAAAUAAACUUGCUGAUGUAAGAAACACAAACUAAUAAUGUCAUGAUAGAACUUUAGUGGAUUUAUAUUAAGAAACAAAUAGAAAACAGCAUUGUUGCAUGUGCUGCCUUGACCAUGCAGACUAAAGUGUCCCGUGGUUGAGGAACAUCAAAUGCGCCCCUUGAGUGACAGGGGUGUGGCUAGGUCUAUGUGGAAAGUGGCACGGAGAGAAAGAGCGGAGCGAGAUGACUCUAAACUAUAAAAAUUGACAUUACACAUGGCGUAUCACAUUAAACAAACAAAAACAUUCAAAUACCGGUAUAGAAGGUAAGUAUAUCAUAAAAUACAGUAUACCGCCCAGCCCCAGGGUUCAGUGAUAAAGAUGGAGGUGACGGGAGGGGGAGACUCCACUGGUGUGGGUCGACAGGGGAAUACAGGUGAGCCACCGCCAGGUUCGUCUAGUGGAAUCAGAGGGGUGACAUGGACAGGGGACAGCCUGGGAAAAGACACUCAUGGUGCUGGUGGUUUAGGAGAGACAAAUACCUCCACACCAGCGGGGGCAGUAAGGAGUUUCCUUAUCAAAUGGAGAAAACUGGUGUAGAGUGGUGGGAAUAUUUUCAACAGCAGGAGGCUCAGUAGCAGAAGCUUGGAGAGAGGCAACAGAGGCAGCAGCAGGCAUAUCAACCUGCUUCUCAGCUGGUUCUUCAGCUCUGUCGUGUGAGUGUUAGUUCACAAAAGGCUUUUGGGGUAGGAGUGGCAAAGGGAGUUGUUUCUGUGGCAACGCAUCUUAGAUGCACUUAACUCACAACAGU